AAACUAACAAGGAUUCCCCUAGUAACGGCGAGUGAAGCGGGAAGAGCUCAAAUUUGAAAUCUGGUAGCCUUCGGCUGCCCGAGUUGUAAUCUAGAGAAGUGUUUUCCGUGCCGGCCCAUGUACAAGUCCCUUGGAACAGGGCGUCAUAGAGGGUGAGAAUCCCGUCCUUGACAUGGACCCCCGGUGCUUUGUGAUACACUUUCAACGAGUCGAGUUGUUUGGGAAUGCAGCUCAAAAUGGGUGGUGAAUUCCAUCUAAAGCUAAAUAUUGGCGAGAGACCGAUAGCGAACAAGUACCGUGAGGGAAAGAUGAAAAGCACUUUGGAAAGAGAGUUAAACAGUACGUGAAAUUGUUGAAAGGGAAACGAUUGAAGUCAGUCAUGCUCUUUGGAUUCAGCCGUUCUGCGGUGUAUUUCCAUUGAGUGGGGUCAACAUCAGUUUUGACCGCUGGAUAAAGGCACUAGGAAGGUAGCACUCUCGGGUGAACUUAUAGCCUAGCGUCAUAUACAGUGGUUGGGACUGAGGAACGCAGCAUGCCUUUAUGGCCGGGAUUCGUCCACGUACAUGCUUAGGAUGUUGACAUAAUGGCUUUAAACGACCCGU
rnacentral:rRNA from 1 species